rnacentral:lncRNA from 1 species
AUAACUUUUAUGAUCUUCGUGAUAUUGAGUCUACUUCAGAUGAGGCUACAAAGCUGGCUUCCACAAGAACAAAAGGAUUUGGACAUUUAUUUCAUGAACAGCAUUGAAUUGAGAUGGGCUGGGCCAGAUCUCCAGGGAAAUUCCAACUGCUGAAGAAAGCAGUUGUAGUAACACUUCCUUCCGUAUCAUAGCUGAUCCUGUAUCUCCUGCUUAGUUCUGGCAGCAGAAUGGUUAUCAUGCUGCCUUUCACAGGAAAUCACGGUGUCCUACCUGCUGUAGCUUCUGAUAGACUGAGGAACUCAUUUAGUGUCUCUGACUCACCAUCAUCCUCUUUAUUCAGCUGAUGGACUACGCUGGAAGCGAUCAGUUCUUCUAUUGAACUGGACUUGUUAUUAGUCAGAGUCAAAAGUGAUUUUAAGAGAAUUUGGAGAGCUGAUUUCCUGUGGCCUUCAAAUGAAAUCUACAUCCAACUAAAAUGAAAUAUUUCAGUUUAUAAUGUUUAUCGGAGCUUUCCUAAAAGACAUGUAAGCUUACUAGGCUACUGGACAAAAGGAACUCUGGUUUCUCUGUUCAUAACUGUGUUUUGCUUGUGGCUCAAAUAAUUAGGUAUAAUUGGAACAGGAGUCACUGUCCCUGGAGGUUUUCAAGAAAAGUGGAGAUACGGCACUGAGGGACAUGAUUUAGUGGGCAUGGUGGUGAUGAGCUGAUGGUUAGACUUGCUGUUCUUAGAGAUCUUUUCCAUCCUUAAUUAUUCUAUGAUCCUAUACCUCUUACAUUUAGUCUACGUGCAAAAUAGAUGCCAGAUCUCUGAAUUUCCAUAGAGUUUAGGCACAAUCUAGGCAUCUGCUUGCUCAGAACUGCCAAAUGGAUCAGCUUAGUGAGAGAUAUUUGGGCUCCUUGGGAACUAUCAGAAGCCUGGUCCCAUUAGAGCUAUAGAUGUUGCACCUGUGUAUCCCAAAUCUGUGGGCUCUAGAUACUCGCUUCUAAUCUUGAUCCAGACGGUAAUGUCAGCUGAGAGAGUUGUGUUCCUGGGACCUCCUCAACAUACCUCAUACACCACUGACUUUGGAAAGAAAAAAGAACUUGAUUUCUUAGAUACACAGAGA